CAGUCGCCGCGGGAAUACGUAGGUGGCAAGCGUUGUCCGGAAUUAUUGGGCGUAAAGGGCUCGCAGGCGGUUUCUUAAGUCUGAUGUGAAAGCCCCCGGCUCAACCGGGGAGGGUCAUUGGAAACUGGGAGACUUGAGUGCAGAAGAGGAGAGUGGAAUUCCACGUGUAGCGGUGAAAUGCGUAGAGAUGUGGAGGAACACCAGUGGCGAAGGCGACUCUCUGGUCUGUAACUGACGCUGAGGAGCGAAAGCGUGGGGAGCGAACAGGAUUAGAUACCCCUGUAGUCCCUGUCUCUUAUAA
rnacentral:rRNA from 1 species